CUCUGUUUGCAAUCUAUUAAAUAAGCAAAUAAGAUACAAGUAAAAAUCAUGAAUACAUGAUGCAGUUUACAACAAGAACAUGGGAGUUUUUAAGCUAAUAGUUCAGUCCUAUAACCAGAAUAAUAAGUGGACCUUAUGUAAUGUUAACAUAAUACAGCCAAUGGCUGCAAGGUUUAUCAAUUAAAAACAUCUAUCUAUCUAAGGAAUACCAAUCCAAGAUUGUGUGUCACGUACCUCGUGCGUCACUUCAAAACAGCCAACAUUUGAGCCUUCUUGAAAAUAGAGCUAGCAUGCAAAUAUGACAGUUCCAAUACAUGUAAACAAAUACGAUUUUUAUGCAGACUAUUGGAGCAACCAAGACUAUAAGCCAUAUUAAAGCGUAUAUAGAUGUAAAACUUCACAAAACAAAAAUAUAAACGUUCAGAAAUAAUGGUACGACGAAUAAAUAACACAGUUUAAUAUUGUCAGUUAAUCCACCUCGGAAUAUACUCCACUCCUCGAUAGUGAAACGUCGACAUAAUUUUGUAUAUUCUUGAUGGAUUUCUUUCAAAAAGCCCCCAGAAGAACAAGCGUGAUUGAAAGAACAAUUUGACGUUCACUUUAUACACUUACGAAGACUUUAAGACCGUCAAAAUAGCGAAAAUAUAUGCACGUAUUGCUUCGUAUAUAGAUCAGUGGGAAUUUCCAUUUUGCGACUAUCCAUGGAGAAGGAGACGGAGCAACCUCGUCCCCAGGGUCUUCUUCGUGCAUGGCGCGUGAAAAAUGAGAAGACCCUGGUAAAGGCUGUGAAAAUCUCCACGAUUCAUGGACAUUUUAGUGCAUGCGCAAAAGCGAAUUUGCCUUGGCGCUGACCAAUUCAUUGCUGGCGUCCAAAUUUUUCAUGGCCUUCUUGAGAUGAAAUAUUUCAGUUUGGAAAUGUAUUUUUUUGCUAAAAUAUACCUCUAGAUAAGUAAUUUCUCUUCAAAAAUUAAGAUGUCUAGAGAGAGAAAAUAACAAGAAGCUAGCACGUCUAAUUUUUAUCUUCCUGGCCGAAGAAUUCGCGUUGUUUGUCAUGUCUCACGGCUGCUUGCACUGGCAGUCUGACAACACUGUCACUGUGAAGGUAAUUGAAAAACUACAAUAUAUUAUUGUUAUUUAUAUUAUAAUUCAACAUAUAAUGGCCCAAUGACUGGUGCUAAUAUGCCUACAAAGUAUUUUUUAAAGCGCUUAGUUUUGAGAAAUUAUAAUUUGAUAAUGAAAAUUUACUAGUGGGCCAUAGACUCAUAUCCAUUUUACACUGUGAACGUUGGCACUUGUUUAAGUUAUUUUGACUAAAAAUUAUCGCAUGUUAAUAAAUACUCUAGUAUAUAAUAAUACUGUAAUUUAUAGUUUAUUCCCUUGGAGCAUGCAAAGUGCAUACAUGUGGAAUAAUUUGCCUUAGAUCCACAGCUCUCAUACAGAUUAGAACUCCCAUAAAUUCUUUACACAUCCUAGUACAUUUUACCAUUCUAAAAGUGCAUUUCCCCAUCCCCUUUCAGACAGCAGAAAUUUCAUUUGUAUUGUGAGUUUAUAUUGUGCACUGAAUGGUGAAUCAGUAAAACUAAAAGAUUGCCAACCAGUUUAGAGAUAGUUUUGUUCAAAUGUAACUUAUGUAAGUAUGUUUCUCCCUCAAUUAGAAAUAAAUCUACUGUUAAUAAAUUAAUUGGAUAGAUUUAGUGUAACAUAUAGAUUUAGGUUUCCAGUUUGUGAAAUGAAAUGCAAAUCAAUUGUAUUAUAUUUUAGAUAUUCAUGCUUCUCAAACUUCAAUAUGGAUAAAACAAGAACUGUCAAGAAGACUGCAACUGUAUAUGUACAACUUAAUGGGGAUGGGAAUGCUGUUAGUCUUCGCAUCUAGGAAUGUUGCUAAUAUGAGAUUAUUAAGAAAACCGCAAAGUCAACAACUAUCCUAGAUUCCAUAAUAUUAGGAAGCUGGCUCAACUAUACUUAAUAUUCUGGUAAUACUCAAGAAAGUGACAUGGCAAUUCAACAAUGCAUAUACAACAGAACAAGAUAUUUCCAUACCAAGACAAUUCUUACUGAAUUAGUAUUUAGCUGAUAUUUCAUUUUUUACAGUAUUUAAAGUUAUAUACAGUGCUGUUUUAAGUUAAAUAACAAAGUUACUUGGUUCAAAAUCUGGUCUUUGUUUUUCCUUCUCUGUACUGUGCAAGGGUAAAGAAAAGAGGUGGUAAUAUGCAUCCUCACAUGCGGCUGAUAGGAACUCUCACUCAUAUGGAAAAUGAAUUGGGUCGUUCCAGAAAAGAUCCAUACUCCCCCCAUGGAGGAAAUUUCUGCCGUCUGUAGGGGGAGGGGAGAAAAAAUUGUUUCUGAUAAUAGUAAAUGUAUUAGGACAUCUGAAGGGGGUUAACUUCCUAUUUCCUCUGUGGGGGUGGUAUGGAUGUUUUCUGGAAUGACCCAUUCUCAUAAAGUAAGCCUUGGAGCUUUUUUGAAAUCGAUUUCAUUCAUGCUUCAACAACCGAUCUCCUGCAUGUACAUCAUUGCAAAAUGUGCAGCCAGCCUGCAAUGUCCAAACCACAGUUGUCCACAACAUUUGUUCUCAUUGAGCUGUCCAUUGAUGAGGAAGUGUAGUGUGGAGACAAACAAUUUUGAUUUGGCUGCAUUUAUUUAAACACUUGCUUUAUUAUACCUCCCUCACUGAUUCAAUAGUUGCUAAUGUAAAUUUGUACUAGCUCUGCAGGACAGAUGUGUUCAAUUUUUCCUAUAUGGUAUGGAAUAAAGAUCAUGCUGUUAGUGUUACAUGCAUGCAAAUGGUAAUUCACAAUGAUGUAAAGGCUAAUGAAAUUCAAUUAUGGGUUGUCCAUAACUACCAACAUUUCCUGAAGUGUACAAACUAUAUGCUUCAGGUAGGCGGGUUCAUAACCAAUAUUCAUCGGUUAAGUCGCUGUGGGAGGGGGUUGAAAAGUGUACUCUCUGUACACCUGUGAUAAUUAUGGAUGAUUUACAGUGUAACACUAAUGCUAGAUUUAACUGAAAAUAAUUUUAUAGUUAUGUUGAAUAUAUUUUAAAUGUUCCAUUUGUGGCAUCCAUUCUUGGUGGUCAGUGGCACCAUUCUUGUGGAAAAUUCAAGUAGCUGUGCUCCAGCAGUUGGCUGCAGUGG